AGGGCCGUUCCCCUGCUCAACCCCCUUUGCAUCACAAACAAUGGUUGACAGCCGUACGACCCCCG
rnacentral:pre_miRNA from 1 species